AUGGCCGACGCGGGUCGUGGGUCAAAGUCUAGUAUCUGUUUUAUCAGCUUAAUAUCUGGUACGGGUUGCAUUUGGACCCAAGAUAUUAAACUUAUUUUUGCCAGUUGGCGGAGUGCUUGAAGCCUGCUUUACCUCCGCCGCGGGUGGGCCCGGUAUUGCACUAUCUUCGGGAUCAGCCCACGGUUG